rnacentral:rRNA from 1 species
CUGGAGGUAUCAGAAGUGCGAAUGCUGACAUAAGUAACGAUAAAGCGGGUGAAAAGCCCGCUCGCCGGAAGACCAAGGGUUCCUGUCCAACGUUAAUCGGGGCAGGGUGAGUCGACCCCUAAGGCGAGGCCGAAAGGCGUAGUCGAUGGGAAACAGGUUAAUAUUCCUGUACUUGGUGUUACUGCGAAGGGGGGACGGAGAAGGCUAUGUUGGCCGGGCGACGGUUGUCCCGGUUUAAGCGUGUAGGCUGGUUUUCCAGGCAAAUCCGGAAAAUCAAGGCUGAGGCGUGAUGACGAGGCACUACGGUGCUGAAGCAACAAAUGCCCUGCUUCCAGGAAAAGCCUCUAAGCAUCAGGUAACAUCAAAUCGUACCCCAAACCGACACAGGUGGUCAGGUAGAGAAUACCAAGGCGCUUGAGAGAACUCGGGUGAAGGAACUAGGCAAAAUGGUGCCGUAACUUCGGGAGAAGGCACGCUGAUAUGUAGGUGAAGUCCCUCGCGGAUGGAGCUGAAAUCAGUCGAAGAUACCAGCUGGCUGCAACUGUUUAUUAAAAACACAGCACUGUGCAAACACGAAAGUGGACGUAUACGGUGUGACGCCUGCCCGGUGCCGGAAGGUUAAUUGAUGGGGUCAGCGCAAGCGAAGCUCUUGAUCGAAGCCCCGGUAAACGGCGGCCGUAACUAUAACGGUCCUAAGGUAGCGAAAUUCCUUGUCGGGUAAGUUCCGACCUGCACGAAUGGCGUAAUGAUGGCCAGGCUGUCUCCACCCGAGACUCAGUGAAAUUGAACUCGCUGUGAAGAUGCAGUGUACCCGCGGCAAGACGGAAAGACCCCGUGAACCUUUACUAUAGCUUGACACUGAACAUUGAGCCUUGAUGUGUAGGAUAGGUGGGAGGCUUUGAAGUGUGGACGCCAGUCUGCAUGGAGCCGACCUUGAAAUACCACCCUUUAAUGUUUGAUGUUCUAACGUUGACCCGUAAUCCGGGUUGCGGACAGUGUCUGGUGGGUAGUUUGACUGGGGCGGUCUCCUCCUAAAGAGUAACGGAGGAGCACGAAGGUUGGCUAAUCCUGGUCGGACAUCAGGAGGUUAGUGCAAUGGCAUAAGCCAGCUUGACUGCGAGCGUGACGGCGCGAGCAGGUGCGAAAGCAGGUCAUAGUGAUCCGGUGGUUCUGAAUGGAAGGGCCAUCGCUCAACGGAUAAAAGGUACUCCGGGGAUAACAGGCUGAUACCGCCCAAGAGUUCAUAUCGACGGCGGUGUUUGGCACCUCGAUGUCGGCUCAUCACAUCCUGGGGCUGAAGUAGGUCCCAAGGGUAUGGCUGUUCGCCAUUUAAAGUGGUACGCGAGCUGGGUUUAGAACGUCGUGAGACAGUUCGGUCCCUAUCUGCCGUGGGCGCUGGAGAACUGAGGGGGGCUGCUCCUAGUACGAGAGGACCGGAGUGGACGCAUCACUGGUGUUCGGGUUGUCAUGCCAAUGGCACUGCCCGGUAGCUAAAUGCGGAAGAGAUAAGUGCUGAAAGCAUCUAAGCACGAAACUUGCCCCGAGAUGAGUUCUCCCUGACCCUUUAAGGGUCCUGAAGGAACGUUGAAGACG